CCAUAGCUCAACUGGAUAGAGCAUUUGACUACGGAUCAAAAGGUUGGGGGUUCGAAUCCCUUUGG
rnacentral:tRNA from 2 species